GCACCUCACCCAACCCAGCCCUGAUGGAGGGGAGGGAGGAGAGAGAGAGGGGUGCUCCUGGGGAGGAUGGAGAAAGGAGGGGGUGCUCCGUGGGGCAGGGGGGAGAAGAAUGGAUGUUAUGGGAGACAACAAAGGAUACUGGUUCCAGAGCCACAGAGCCUGCCUCACCUGACCUCAGCCGGGGGGAAAGAGUCACACUCACAGUGAGGAUGCUAUGGCCCACCUACUGUUCCUUUGGCAACUCUGCUGUGCAGAAAAGUGAAACAAAGGUUUGACACUAGAGCUUGCAAAGUGGUCUGAAGAUUUCUGUCUAUAACUGAGGGCCUGAUUCUUCCACCCUCAUCCAUGGAUUAGACAGUUUCAACAUCUUCACGUACAGAGAGAGACGACACAGUGAGACUGAGUGGCUCUACCUGACCAAACAAGUGAGUGGCAUUCUCCUGGAUAGGCCCUGAUGGAUAAUCCUUCUGACUAGACCAAAAACUAUUUGAGCAGAAUGAGUUAAACAGAACCAGGCUGACAGACCCACAGACUC